CCGGACGGCAGCGGCAGCCAGCCUCUUGGCCGCAGCACGGCGCGGGGACCAAAUGGCACGUGGCCUUACCUUGCCACAUGGGACCGGAGGUACCAGAGACAAGGGCAGAGGUACGGCGCAGUAUCCGCGAGUGCCAUGCUGUGCUGCACUCAGAGGCAAGCCGCAGGAAGAGUAUUCGGUAUUGUGGAAAAUCUGCCAGGAUCUGUUGUAGGGUCCACCAGCCAAGCCUGGGGCAGCCCUGGCCAGCCCAGGCAGACCUUGGGCAGACGGACAGACCCCUGCAGCCACAAACCGGGCAGGCAAGCAGCCUCCUGCACCCUUGGUGGCAUCUUACUUUCCUGAGAUGCUGAGGUGAAGAGUCCAAGUCAGUACCCAUGCCUGGACUCCAGUCUCCUGCAUUCCUGCUCUCAUUUCCUCCUUGUCGUGAGGGAUGUUGCGUGUGUCCUUCAUGCAACAUGGUCACUGGCCCCUUCAGAAGUCCUGCAAGAACAGGACUGGUGUGCUGCUAAGAUUAGUGUUGUAAUGGAUGACAUGAGACAAAGCAUGGGCACAUACAGCAAGAAUAAGCAACUGUAGACCCAAGGACCUACAGACAAGUGUGGUCCAUUAAGGUUGCCAUCACCAGAUAUGUUACCAGAGCAAGGUUCAGAUUUGAUUGCUCAGACUCAGAGACCAUGUUCACUUUUCAAGUUGAACCAUACAUUUACUGACACUGGUGUGAGUGCAAGCAUUUUUAGGAAAAGAUUCUCAUAUAAGGAUAAUCUUGAAACAUUCUUUCUGGCACAAAUGUGCAGGAGAGGAUGUUUUGAGAUUAUGCUUAUAGUAUUAAUUAGAAGCAAAGUGAAGUUUACUCUGGAGUGCAAGAAAAGUUUAACCAGUAGAGUCAGUCUUAGCUAAUAUCCUCAGGUACCUUGCUGUAAAUGAGUUUCUGGAGUGGGAGAAGAGAUUUACCCAGAAAUGUGAUUUUAAUAGACAUUUCCCACUGUACUGGAGUGAGAAAUGAGUUCCAGAAGUGUGAAAAGAUGUUAGCACAGAAAGGUGAUUCUUAUCAAACAUCCUCACCAAUACUGACAGAGUGCAAUGAGACUGGGAAAGUUUAUCCAAAGAAAGGUGAUCAUGACAAACACAUUCAUGCCCCUAUUGGUAUUAAAAGCAAAGCACCAUAAAUAUUGUGGUGCUUGAUUUUACCAUGUGGGACAGGAUAUGUGUGUGUCAAGAUGACCCUU